GACGAACGCUGGCGGCGUGCUUAACACAUGCAAGUCGAACGAAGUGGCGAACGGGUGAGUAAUACGUGAGUAACCUGCCCUCCUUUUUGGGAUAAGCCUUGGAAACGGGGUCUAAUACCGAAUAAAGGGGGAUGGGCUCGAGGCCUAUCAGCUUGUUGGUGGGGUAAUGGCCUACCAAGGCGGCGACGGGUAGCCGGACUGAGAGGGUGGAAGGCCACAUUGGGACUGAGACACGGCCCAGACGCCUACGGGGGGCAGCAGUGGGGAAUAUUGCACGAUGGGCGGAAGCAGGAUGCAGCGACGCCGCGUGGGGGAUGACGGCCUUCGGGUUGUAAACUCCUUUCACCAUCGACGCGGUAGAUGGAGAAGAAGCACCGGCUAACUACGUGCCAGCAGCCGCGGUAAUUC
rnacentral:rRNA from 1 species